AUCUUUAAGUUAUCCCAAAUAUAACCAUAUCAUGUCCUCAGUUGUUAAGUAUGUUUAUUGUAAGAAGUAGUUCUAUGUGGACUUCUUUUUUAAGAUUUAAAU
rnacentral:lncRNA from 1 species